rnacentral:sRNA from 1 species
UGUCCUAGCCCUGCCUCUGUGUAGAAAGGAGGGAAAGUGCACAGCCAGCCUGGUGAUGCCAUGAGGACCCUGGGUUGUGGACAGGCCGAACAGCAGCUGGUGGACUGCGCCCAGGACUUCAAUAAUCAUGGCUGCCAAGGGGGUCUCCCCAGCCAGGCUUUCGAGUACAUCCUGUACAACAAGGGGAUCAUGGGUGAAGACACCUACCCCUACCAGGGCAAGGAUGGUUAUUGCAAGUUCCGACCUGGAGAGGCCAUCGGCUUUGUCAAGGAUGUAGCCAACAUCACAAUCGUGAGUGCCGAUCCCCCUCUGGGAUGGGGAAUGUGUCCUGAUGAGGAGGCCUCUAUCACGCUGUUGGACAGCCAACGGGCCCAGCAAGGCAGCCCUUCUGGCAGCACAUCCCUUUGACGAGUUCAUAUUAUCACUGGGUCGUCUCAGUCGCUGUGAUGGUGGCGAGGCAGGAGAUGGGAGGGAGAGCGCAAACUGGCAGGCAGGCACUCUGGUUCUGAACUCCAGAUCCACACAUGCCUUCAUUCUUGUGGUUCUAUUUUCUUGCCUGUAAAAUGCAAGCAAUUGUCCACAUCCUGCAGAAGAGGGUAUGAGCACGUGCUUGACACAGCGUGUGUGAGACUGAGGAGGGUGUGUGUCACUCAGGAUGAGCCAGGUUCUGUUGCAAUAACAACCGUGCCCAAUCUGCAAGGCUGACAACAGUCAAAGGGUGUGUGGCACUCCUGCGCCCAUGCACAGCUUAGGGAGGGUGGUGUGUGCUCGGUGUCAUUGGCCUCACGCCAGGACU